CGGCCGAAGCCCCACCCGUCCCCUCCCACUUCUAUACGGUGGUGACGAGCUGCCAGGAGCUGAACCAGACGGUGGAGGAGUGUGACGGGCCACUCAGGGUCUUUUCCUAUCUGCUUCCACACAGACCGGACAACAGUGAGGCCUGCAACAGUGUAGAGGACGAGUCGCAGUGGGUGGAGGACCUGCUGAAGCUCCACACGGCCCGAGUCCGAGACGUGGAGAUCCUGACGGGCCUGGACCUCUACCGGUCUACCAACCUCACCUUCACCAGCACGCUGAGCCUCAAAACCUACCUGCACACUUUUGAGAGUGACGACUAGACGCACAGGGAGACAGACGCACACAUAACAGGAUGUAGCCCUUUGUAGAAAGUCCCGCGUUAUUUUUUACUGCAUGCUCGCUAGACAGCCGGCGCAUCGUUGUUCCACUCCUGAGGAACUGCCCCAGAAGUGCUUGCAAAGAAAGGGAACACAUUUUUUGGAAAAUUGAAAAGAUUAAAAGAAUGGUUUGGCAAGCAGUAGUUUGGAAGAUUACAACAGGAACAUGCAACACUAUCACAAAACAAAUUCUGAGAAGGAAUAAGCUAGCACAGGGACGUUCUCGACAGCUGCCACUACUCAAUCCAGUUUAUACAGUACAGGACAUCAUCAUGCACACAUAAAGGACUAUAUUGGGCUUUUAGCUCCAUAACUAUAAACAAUGUAUACUUUAUAUUCCUACUGCCCAUCCGUUGCAUGCUGUAGAUUUGAAACAUUUUUGAAUGUGUCUUUUCUUACCCAUAAAAGACUCUUGAACCUUGCAUCACUUGUAUCAGCGGAUCUGUCUGUAAUUCUUUUAGCCAAAGUUAUAAUAUCAUUGGGAGGACUUCUCAUAGCAAACUACAGAUUACAUUGUUAUGCUGUAUGGAAAUAAGUAGAAACUUAAAAACUGGAAAAAUACAUUCAAAAAUCUGAAAGUCUACAGCACGGUUUGCAAAAUAGUCAGCAGUAAUGUAAAGUGCAGUCAAUGGGCUUUGACUUGCAGCAUUGCUGGUAUGGUUUUGCAAAGGAAUAGUUUGAUAUUUUGGAAACGACACCUAUUCUCUUUGGUUAGAUGAGAAGAUUGGUUAGCCUAGCUUAGCAUAAAGAGCGAAAACAGGGGGAAACAGCUAGCCUGGUUCUGUCCAAUGGUAACAACAUCUGCCCACCGCACCUCUAACGCUCACUAAUUAACAUGUUAUAUCUCGUUUGUUUAAUCCAAAAUGUCAAACCUUUCCUUUAAAACAACAUGCGGCAACUAUAUGUUUAAUGCCACAUACUUUCGGAACUCUAAAGUUCCCGAAAGUAUGUGGCAUUAAACAUAUAGGAAGAAAAAAAAAAAACCUAAACCUGAAUUAUUAAUAUCUCAUGAUUACUAGAAACGGUUUCCAAACAAACAUUACACAAAUAUACUUUUGCACAAAACCUUUUUUAUGGGUUACCACUAGGGCUGGGUGAUAUGGAAAAAAAAAUCUGAUAUUAUCUACAAUAUAUUCUUGGCCAAAUACCUCAGUAGCGAUAUUGCGACAAUAUUGUACGGUUGACAAUUGGUUGCUUUCACAAAAACAUUUUUUACAAUGAGAUUUUAGAC